AUUAUGGCAAGUGGGCGCAAGCGUGAUCCAGCAAUCCGCAAUGGUGGAGGGCUUCCGGGUGAAAAGCACUUAAUCGGGAAGAGAAGCCUAAGGUCAAUACCCUGAGGUGUUUCGGUCCCGCUGAGAAGCACCGGAUAACUCCGUGCCAGCAGCCGCGGUAAUACGGAGGGUGCAAGCGUUAAUCGGAAUUAUCGGGCGUAAAGCGCGUGCAGGCGGUUUCGUAAGUCGGAUGUGAAAGCCCCGGGCUUAACCUGGGAACCCAUUCGAUACUGCCCGGCUUGAGUCUGGUAGAGGAAAGUGGAAUUCCAGGUGUAGCGGUGAAAUGCGUAGAUAUCUGGAGGUACAUCAGUGGCGAAGGCGGCUUUCUGGAUCAAAACUGACGCUGAGGCUCGCAAGCGUGGAGGGCAAACAGGAUUAGAUACCCUGGUAGUCCACGCCCU
rnacentral:rRNA from 1 species